UGGGCGUAAGCGCGCGCAGGCGGUUUCUUAAGUCUGAUGUGAAAGCCCACGGCUCAACCGUGGAGGGUCAUUGGAAACUGGGGAACUUGAGUGCAGAAGAGAAAAGCGGAAUUCCACGUGUAGCGGUGAAAUGCGUAGAGAUGUGGAGGAACACCAGUGGCGAAGGCGGCUUUUUGGUCUGUAACUGACGCUGAGGCGCGAAAGCGUGGGGAGCAAACAGGAUUAGAUACCCUGGUAGUCCACGCCGUAAACGAUGAGUGCUAAGUGUUAGAGGGUUUCCGCCCUUUAGUGCUGCAGCUAACGCAUUAAGCACUCCGCCUGGGGAGUACGGUCGCAAGACUGAAACUCAAAGGAAUUGACGGGGGCCCGCACAAGCGGUGGAGCAUGUGG
rnacentral:rRNA from 2 species